rnacentral:rRNA from 1 species
UACAGAGGUCUCAACCGUUGUUCGGAUUCAUUGGGCGUAAAGGGUGCGUAGGCGGUCGCGCAAGUCGGAUGUGAAAUUUCGGGGCUCAACCCCGAAACUGCAUUCGAUACUGCGUGGCUCGAGUACUGGAGAGGAGACUGGAAUUUACGGUGUAGCAGUGAAAUGCGUAGAUAUCGUAAGGAAGACCAGUGGCGAAGGCGGGUCUCUGGACAGUUCCUGACACUGAGGCACGAAGGCCAGGGGAGCAAACGGG